rnacentral:tRNA from 1 species
AUCUAAGUAGUUUAAAGAAAAUAUUGAUUUGUGGUGUCAAAGAUAUAGAGUAUCUAUUUUAGAUC